rnacentral:lncRNA from 1 species
GUGAAAAUAGGGACAUUUAAUUUGAUUUAUUUUUUUUCGUGACCAAAUAUUUAAAAGAAGGACAGGUGCCAACUCUAAUUUGAACCAGUUAUUUGUUUUAGCAAAAUAUUCACAGACUGCAACAGUCUAAUGCCAGUUAUCAUUAUCAGGCUAGCAUCAACAGAACAUGGUUAAAGGCUGAUAUGGCACCAAUCUAACCCUAGGUAGCAGAAUCACAACAACAUCCUCAGAAAAUUAGAAAGAUAAAUUAAUCUGAUACUAAUUAUCAGCAUCAACAUAAUAUUCACAGAAAAUGCUGCACUGGAUGUCCGAGAAGGCACCAGUCUGAAACCAGCUAAGCGGUACUGAGCCUCAGUUGAUUUUUAAAAAAAACGGCAGCAGACUGAGACCAGGUAGAGCUAUCAGGCCAAUUUCUCCAUAAAAUGUUGGAUCAAAUGUCUGACAUGGCAACAAUCUGACACCAGUUAGUAAUAUCAAGCCAAUUUCCACAGAAAAUGCUGGAUAAGAUGUCCAACAUGGCACCAAACAAAUACCAGUCAUUAGCACUGAGCCAAUAUUCACAGACAAUGCUGGUUCAGAUGUUUGAGAUAAUACUCUGGCAAAAAUCUGAUACCAGGUAGUAGUAGAGUCGACAUCCACAGUAAACGCUAGAUUGAAAGUCUAGAUAGCAUUAUCAGACUGAUUCACACAGACAAAAGCUGGAUCAGGUUUAUAAAAUGAUAAAUGUUUAUUUUUAAAUUUGCUUAUUUAAAGAGAACAAACUAAAUCAGUAUCAGACACUCAAGAAACGUUCAAAAGGCAGCAUAUGAUCCUUAAAGGGCAGCAUCCUUAUUUUACCUCAAUUCUGAAGCAGUGUGAGAUGUAUCCUUGAAGGCGAAGGCAAUCCCAUGAUGCAUUUCACCAGCUCACAGUUCCAGUGCUCAGGUUUAAAAACAUGCUGGAAAGGAGUUGGCACUGUGGGGGAGUUUCUGUACAAAUGCAAAUGGAUGAAUGUGAUUACCGGGCCAGAGAAGAGGCUCUAAUAACAGGGAAGAUGAACCCUGGUCAGACUGGCUAGAGGCAGUGUUAGCUCCUUUUUGAAAGAGUAUUUUUUUCCCUUUGCAUUUAAUAAAGUUUUCUUUGUUAACA